rnacentral:rRNA from 1 species
AUUGAACGCUGGCGGCAGGCCUAACACAUGCCAGUCGAGCGGAUGAAGGGAGCUUGCUCCUGGAUUCAGCGGCGGACGGGUGAGUAAUGCCUAGGAAUCUGCCUGGUAGUGGGGGAUAACGUCCGGAAACGGGCGCUAAUACCGCAUACGCCCUGAGGGAGAAAGUGGGGGAUCUUCGGACCUCACGCUAUCAGAUGAGCCUAGGUCGGAUUAGCUAGUUGGUGGGGUAAAGGCCUACCAAGGCGACGAUCCGUAACUGGUCUGAGAGGAUGAUCAGUCACACUGGAACUGAGACACGGUCCAGACUCCUACGGGAGGCAGCAGUGGGGAAUAUUGGACAAUGGGCGAAAGCCUGAUCCAGCCAUGCCGCGUGUGUGAAGAAGGUCUUCGGAUUGUAAAGCACUUUAAGUUGGGAGGAAGGGCAGUAAGUUAAUACCUUGCUGUUUUGACGGUACCAACAGAAUAAGCACCGGCUAACUUCGUG